AUAACCUUAGCCUUAGAUACCCUUAAUGUUAGGAUGAGUCUUAACAAUAGCUUCGAUCGGUAAAACUAUACUUUCAUAUGAAUGUAUGUAGAUAUGUAUGUAUGUAAUAAUAUAAUAAUGAAGUAAGACGAUACAUUAAUGGACACUAUGACGAAAGUGAAUAUGUGAUCAUGAAGUCAAGCUAUCAACAUGUUUCCCAACUUAAUGGGUUUUUAUUGUAUGGAUAUUUAUGGAAAGCUUUUCUUUUAUUAUAUUAACAAAAAAAUGUUAAAGAUAAAUUAAUUCAUAUACAUACACACAUACAUAUGCAUGUACAUAUACAUAUACAUAUACAUAUACAUAUACAUAUACAUAUACAUAUACAUAUACAUAUACAUAUACAUAUACAUAUACAUAUACAUAUACAUAUACAUAUACAUAUACAUAUACAUAUACGAUUCUUAUCGAGACACCAUAAUUACCCCGGGUAAAAAAAUGAAAAUCAUUGUACACGUCUAAAUACCAAGAGCUUAUUAGGGUUCAGUGAAUUUAUUACACAUGCAUUUAGUUAUCAUAAACAUGCACACAGCUACAGACGUAAAUACAAACAUCUAAAUGGAAAUUGAUAGACAUGCUUCUCGCAAGGCAACAAGAAAAAUAAAAUUGAUGCAUAGAUUAGCCACAUAGCGUCAGUUGUUCGUCGGCCGGUAUUGGCUAGUGAAUUUUUGUCGAUAACUGCCAACAUCAACCAUACAUCGGCAUAAACAACAGCAUCAAGAUAAAAGAAAUAACUACAACUAUAACAACCGAAAACAACAACAAACAGCAUCAACAGAACAAGGUCUACUCCUUUCUACUACUAUCUGCUAUGUCUAUGAACUACUUAUAUUCUACAACUACUACUAUCUACAACACUUCUAACGAGCAUUGAAACCGGAGCAUAUAACUUAUGCACAUGUGUAAACCAGUCGGCACUUCCAGGAAUCGGAAUAUGUUCCCAUGCCCUAAUACACUGAUUACACUCGCUUACCAACUUUAUUACGUUAAAUGAGUAUGCACGUACUAUUCUUUAAAACUCCGACUCUGACAGUGUACUAAAUACAUACAUAUGUACACACAUGAACGGGUCAUUUAAAUGAACUGCUGGACAUAAUGAGUUAUUAUUGUACUAAAUCGAUAAUUUUAUUUACUCGGUCCUGAACAAUAUAUAUAUAUAUACCUCGCGGGUAACUGCAUAUUUGAGAAAUGAAUAAAUUAUUUGUGUCGUUCAUAAACGGCUGAACAACCAAAUAACUGAACAAAACAAAUCGUUCAUGAUGUUUAUGAGUAUAAAUAAAAUUAUCGCUUCAGUUCACGACUCGACGAACAACUUAACUUAUUCACAAAAUUAAGCUACAAGUCCCCACUCUUAUAAGUUUAUAUGUCAUAAAAAUACAUAAACUUUAUGUAAUGUAUGCACGCCUGUUGUU